rnacentral:rRNA from 1 species
AGUGAACGCUGGCGGUAGGCCUAACACAUGUAAGUCGAACGGCAGCACAGUAAGAGCUUGCUCUUACGGGUGGCGAGUGGCGGACGGGUGAGGAAUACAUCGGAAUCUACUUUUUCGUGGGGGAUAACGUAGGGAAACUUACGCUAAUACCGCAUACGACCUACGGGUGAAAGCAGGGGAUCUUCGGACCUUGCGCGAUUGAAUGAGCCGAUGUCGGAUUAGCUAGUUGGCGGGGUAAAGGCCCACCAAGGCGACGAUCCGUAGCUGGUCUGAGAGGAUGAUCAGCCACACUGGAACUGAGACACGGUCCAGACUCCUACGGGAGGCAGCAGUGGGGAAUAUUGGACAAUGGGCGCAAGCCUGAUCCAGCCAUACCGCGUGGGUGAAGAAGGCCUUCGGGUUGUAAAGCCUUUUUGUUGGGAAAGAAAAGCAGCAGGUUAAUACCCCGCUGUUCUGACGGUACCCAAAGAAUAAGCACCGGCUAACUUCGUG